rnacentral:rRNA from 1 species
UACGAAGGGGGCUAGCGUUGUUCGGAAUUACUGGGCGUAAAGCGCACGUAGGCGGCUUUGCAAGUCAGAGGUGAAAGCCCGGGGCUCAACCCCGGAAUUGCCUUUGAGACUGCAUCGCUAGAAUUGUGGAGAGGUAAGUGGAAUUCCGAGUGUAGAGGUGAAAUUCGUAGAUAUUCGCAAGAACACCAGUGGCGAAGGCGGCUCACUGGCCCGAUACUGACGCUGAGGCACGAAAGCGUGGGGAGCAAACAGGG